AAGAAGGUUACUUAACGCAUGGUGUGGAUGCCUUGACUGAAGCAAGCGAUGAAGGACGUAGGAGGCUGCGAUAAGCCUCGGGGAGCUGUCAACCAAGCUUUGAUCCGGGGAUUUCCGAAUGGGGCAACCCAGUCGUUCGUAUCACGCAGAGCGUGAUACUCACUAAAUGUAAAAUGCAAAUCUCAAAAUGAAAAAUUGUUGUAUCCUGCGAAGCAGGAUUCCAUAAUUUUAAUCUUUGAUUUUUGAUUUUUAAUUUUCGUAGAACAGAAGAAUUAUUAUUCUUUGCGCGAUACGAACGAUUAAUUCCAUUUGAAUACAUAGAAUGGAAUAGCAGACCCUGGGAACUGAAACAUCUUAGUACCAGGAGGAAAAGAAAUCAAUGAGAUUCCGCAAGUAGUGGCGAGCGAACGCGGAGAAGCCUAAACCCAGCACCUAACAAGCUUUAUGUUUUAUUUGUACAUAUUGAAAUCGUUAUCUGAUAAUCAAAUUUAUAUCGGAUAUACAAGUGAUUUGAAACGACGGAUGCGCGAGCAUCAAAGUGGAAAGUCAUUUGCGACGAGUUUUCGUUUGCCAGUAAAACUUGUGUAUUACGAAGCCUAUGCGUCUGAGAAGGAUGCGCGUAAUCGUGAAAGAAAGCUAAAACAAUAUGGAAAGGCAAUACAACUUUUGAAAGAAAGAAUCAGAGAAAGUUUAUUGUAAAGCUUGUUAGGUGCUGGGGGUUGCAGGGCUUGUGGACUCGGUUGAUCGGGGCCCAGCCGUAUUUUUUAGGAGAAGUGCCUGGAAAGGCACAUCACAGAAGGUAAUAAUCCUGUAUCCGAAAAAAAAUACGGCUGGGUGCACAAGUUCCUAAGUAGGGCGGGGCCGGAGAAACCCCGUUUGAAUCCGGGAGCACUAACUUCCAAGGCUAAACAUUGCUUCAGAUCGAUAGUGAACUAGUACCGUGAGGGAAAGGUGAAAAGCAUCCCGAUAAGGGAGGUGAAAUAGAACUGAAACUCCAUGCUAACGAAGAGUGGGAGUCCAGCCGUACUUUUACUGUAAACGAUAUGCUAUAGAAAGAUAAUUUUAUUCAUAAUUAUUAUCUGUGGCGUAGAAAUGUUUGUUGUAAAAGUACGGCUGGAUGACCGCGUGCUUUUUGCAGCACGAUCCAACGAGUUAAUUUUACGCGGCUGUCUAAGGGAUGAUGAAUUCCGGAGACACAGUGAAAGCGAGCCUGAAUAGGGCGCCACCGUUCGUAUCACACAGUGUGUGAUACUCACUCAAAUGUAAAAUGCAAAUCUCAAAAUGAAAAAAUGAGGAGUCCGCUUUGCGGACAGAAGAAAUUCUUUUCCUGCCUUAGCGGAAUCCAUAAUUUUUAUUUUUGAUUUUUAAAUUUUGAUUUAGAGCCAAGUAUCAUGCUUUGCGUGAUACGGGCGGAAGGUCGCGUGGAUUAGACCCGAAGCCAGACGAGCUACAUAUGAGCAGGGUGAAGCGUGGGUAAAACCACGUGGAGGCCCGCACCCACUUGCUGUGCAACUCAAGGGGAUGACUUGUGUGUAGGGGAGAAAUUCCAAUCGAGUUUGGCAAUAGCUGGUUCUCUCUGAAAUAGCUUGAGGGCUAGCGUCUUGUAAAUUGUGUCCGGGGGGUAGAGCUACUGGAUGAGAAUUCGUGGCUUGCCAUAGGAUUUUCAACCAAACUCCGAAUACCCGCGAUAUCUACCAAGGCAGUCAGUACUCCGGGGCUAAGCUCGGAGCACAAAAGGGAAAAAGCCCAGACCGUCAGCUAAGGUCCCAAAAUCUGUAUUAAGUGGGAAAGGAAGUGAAAACUCAGAGACACUGAGGAGGUUGGCUUAGAAGCAGCCAUCCUUUAAAGAGUGCGUAAUAGCUCACUCAUCUAGAGUUUUCGCGCCGACAAUGUAACGGGGCUAAAUACAGUACCGAAGCUACGGACCCAGCACCUAACUUGUGCAUGCGCCUAUGGCGCAAUGGUAAAAAAAUAUGUGAGAAGUUUUUCUCGUAGUAUAUUUUAAAUUUUUCAUAACAGGUAUGUAUCUGUUGUGGCACAAGUUAGGUGCUGGGUGGUAAGAGAGCGUUCUGUAGGCACUGAAGCGGGAGGGCGACCGACCGUGGAGCGUACAGAAGUGAGAAUGUUGGAAUGAGUAACCGCAAUCGAGGUGAGAGCCCUCGACAUCGAAAGUCCGAGGUUUCCUGGGCCAUGGUGAUCAUCCCAGGGUUAGUCGGUCCUAAGGCGAGGCUGAAAGGCGUAGUCGAUGGACAUCAGGUUAAUAUUCCUGAACUGUUUGCAUAUUCGAGGGAGAGACGCAUCUCUGUACCUCUUGCCCCUUAUUGGAUUGGGGUUUCUUGUCUGAAGACGUCGCCGAGGUAAAUCCCGGCGGCACCAGUCUGAUGGAUGAGGACGACCCCAGCCGUACUUUUACCGCAAACAUUUAUGUGCUGUUAUUAGGCGUGUAAAUGAAAAUUAUUUCUCAAUGGAGAACAUUUGUUGUAAAAGUACGGCUGGGUAAGGAGAGGGAGCGGGGUGCCAGGAAAAUCUUCUAAGGUUCGUAUGCAAAUAUCCGUACCGCAAACCGACACAGGUGGACUGGGCGAGUAGCCUAAGAUGAACGGGAGAGAAUUCGUUAAGGAACUCGGCAAAAAAGCUAGACGUAAGUUCGCAAUAUGUCUUUCCAGCCGUAGAUUCAGUCUUAAAAACAAAUAUAUGCAUUGUGUUUAUGUGAUUCAAAAUUCGUUUUCAAAAGAAAUUUAUAUUGGGAAAACUGAUAAAUUGGAAAGACGUCUCAAAGAACACAAUGCGGGUGAGCAAACUUCAACCAGACGGAAAUCAGGGAAGUGGAUACUCGUAUAUGCAGAGGCAUACCGAGUGAAAUUAGAUGCUGAUCGUCGGGAAAGAGCGCUCAAACAACAUGGGAGCAAUAAACGCUGGUUGAUGAAUAGAAUCAGCAGUAGUUUGCUCACAGACUGAAUCUACGGCUGGACGCAGCUAAAGUUUUCCAAGCGACUGUUUACCAAAAACACAGGUCUCUGCAAACCCGUAAGGGGAAGUAUAGGGGCUGACGCCUGACCAGUGCUGGAACGUUAACGGGAGCGGUGCAAGCCAAUCCCCGAAGCGCCAGUGAACGUCGGCGAUAACUAUAGAACGAUUGUAGUUAAAAAAUUUGGCUAUAUGCUGGAAACUCCGAAUGGAUUGUUAUGUACUCGCCUGAGAAAUGGCAGUGAAAAUCAUAGCAGUGAGAGUAUCGCGGGAUACGAGUCGGACAAUCAGCAGGAAAGACUCUUAAAUACAUGAUCUAUGCAAGAAAACAAUGCAUGGUUGAAACUAAUUCCUCCAGAAGUGGGCCACUAUUUAGCUGGCUUUGCCGAUGGGGAAGGAAGUUUCAUAGUGAGUUUACGACAGCGUCCGGAUCAUACACUGGGAUGGCAAGUCGUCUUGACUUUCAAUGUCGCUCAAAAGGAGAGCUACAUUCUUUCACAAUUCAAGAGAUAUCUUGGUUGUGGCAGGUUACAAGAAAGAAAAGAUGGCGUGUAUUACUAUGUGUGUGCCAAUCCGCAAGCGAUUCAAGAGAAAGUCAUUCCUUUUUUCCAGCGUUUCGAAUUUCGUUCGCAAAGAAAAAAGAAAAAUUUUUCCAUCUUCUGUCGUAUCGCAGAAAAAGUUUUUCGUAAGGAGCAUCUGACCUCGGCUGGACUGAGUGAAAUUAUCCGGUUGCGCGAAGAGCUCAAUUUCGGUCGAGGACGUACGCGCAAGUUUACGCAAAUCGAUUACGAAAAAACUCAAAAAGAGAAUCCUCAGAGACUAUACGCCAAACCACGGGCAUUCCGAAAGGAGCGCCAUGCUGGAUGAUAUAGUCCGAUCUCAUGGGUAACUAUGAGUUUUGAUUUCCGGUUACCAGUAGAAAUCAAAAACGGAGAGAAUGAAAAUUCUUUCUGAACACAGGGCACGAAUCGUCCUAAGGUAGCGAAAUUCCUUGUCAGGUAAAGAAAUUGCCUGUGCUAAGAGUAAUCUUGGUAACAAAUUCGGCUAAUAACGGUGGAGUCCUCGCUGGAGCAUUCUAUAUCAAGGAGAGUGCGACGAAGGCAGGAGAAUACCGUGGGAAUCUCAAGUUUUUGAGAACCCGUAUCGACUGAGAUUGUUCUUCAGAACAAUUGAGAUGGCAGAAGUAUUUUGAAACUCGCAAGGGUUUUGAAAUAAAUCAACGCUGCCAUAACACGCCGACGCCCUCGAUAAAAAUUGAGGGAUGAAGAUAUAGUCAGUGCCAAUAGAAAUAUUGGAGUAACAUGAAGUUCUGACCCGCAUGAAAGGCGUAACGACUUGGAAACUGUCUCAACGAACAUCCCGGUGAAAUUGCAAUGACGGUAAAGAUGCCGUCGACCUACAGCUAGACGAAAAGACCCCAUGGAGCUUUACUAUAACUUGGUAUUGACUUAAAGUUUUUGCUGCCGAGCAUAGGUGGGAGACUCUGAAGCGCCCCUUCUGGGGGGCGUGGAGUCGACAAGUGGAAUACCACCCUGCAGAGAUUUUAAUUCUAACCCUGCACCGAUCACUCUGCUUCGCAGACCGAUGGUGCUGGGCAGGCCCGCCGUUUCUAUUAUUGAGGCGAGGGGGCUUGUCCCGCACCCGGAGCGUAGCGACCGGUGCGGGGACAGUGCCUGGUGGGUAGUUUGACUGGGGCGGUCGCCUCCUAAAAAGCAACGGAGGCGUUUACUAAGGUUGACUAGGUCCGGAUGGAAAUCGGAUCGAUAGCGCAAAAGCACAAGUCAGCUUUACUGAGAGACCGAUCAGUCGAUCAGUUACGAAAGUAGAAUUUAGUGAACCGACCAUCACUCGUAGGAGUGUGGAAGAUCAUCAGAUAAAAGUUACCCUGGGGAUAACAGGCUGAUCUUGCCCAAGAGUCCAUAUCGACGGCAAGGUUUGGCACCUCGAUGUCGGCUCAUCACAUCCUGGGGCUGGAGAAGGUCCCAAGGGUUUGGCUGUUCGCCAAUUAAAGUGGUACGUGAGCUGGGUUCAAACCGUGAAGUAGCGAAGCUGCUUAACUUAUAACCAAUAACUAACAACCAAUAACAGAAUGCGAAUGCAUUUUUGUUGCAAGUUGCGCGUCGUUGGUCGUAGGGUAAAGCGUUUAGCUUUUUCAUAGUUUGAACCCCGAGGCUUGCGACAUCAAAUAGGUUUUUCGUCUUAGAAAUAGUGUUAGAAAAUCAAUCACAUCACGGCGGUACUUUAUAGUAAUAUAAAGUAACAAGCUGACUCGUUUCGGUGAAAUCCCAUUUGACAUUAACCUGUCAUAUGUUAGGAUAAUACCGAGGGAAGUAUGAAACUAUCACCAACACAAAGAGCAUAUAUUGCAGGGUUUCUCGAUGGCGACGGUAGCGUAUAUGUACGAGCAAAACCAAACGAUUCGUAUCGUUAUGGCUAUCAGAUAGCUCCGAGUAUUGUUCUGUUCCAGUCGAGUAAAUCUAAGGAAGCCCUGAAAAGGCUUCAUGCAAUGCUUCAACUUGGUUACAUUAGAGAGCGUAAUGAUGGAAUUCUAGAACUUAUAAUCAACAAGGUUGCUGAGAUUCAAGAAUUCAUUGUGAUAGCCAAACCGUUUUCUCUUUUUAAGAAGAAACAGUUGGCUCUAAUGGAAAAAAUCAUUGAAGCGAAGAAGAAAAUCAAGAAUGAAUGUGAUUUUCAGGCAAUGCUCAAAUUGGUAGAUAUAUAUCGAGUAUUAAACUACUCGAAGAAAAGAAAAAUACGCCCGUAGAGACUAAACGUCAGCAAUCCAGCUGUAAUUUUGGACCAUAGAAAUUUCUAUUUUUCAAAAUUACGGCUGGAUGAAGCUAUAGUCCAAUGCACUCGGUAACGAGUGGUAUCAUGCGUGAGACAGGUUGGUUUCCUAUCUGCUGUAGGCGUGUGUUGCUUGAGAGAACUCUUUCUUAGUACGAGAGGACCGGAAAGAACGAACCUCUGGUGUACGAGCUGUUCCGCCAGGAGCAUUGUUCGGUAGCUACGUUCGGGUAGGAUAACCGCUGAAAGCAUCUAAGCGGGAAGCCAAGCUCAAGAUAAGGCAACACCCAGCACCUAAUUUGCGCAUGCGUCUUUGACGCAAAAGAAGAGUAAUUUUAUAGAAUCGCAAUCAAUCUAUAAAGUACUUCUUUGAUAACAGACUUGCAUAGUUUGUUGUGGCACAAAUUAGGUGCUGGGGAAAUUUCCUAGAAGAUGACUAGGUCGCCGCAAGGCGGACCUCGCCAAAGCCGCAAGGCGGAGGCCGGGUUGAUAGGCUGCAGGUGGAAGUCUCGAGAGGGAUUAAGCCAAGCAGUACUAAUAAAUUUAUUCAACUUUCUUUU
rfam:Candidatus Moranbacteria bacterium RIFCSPLOWO2_12_FTLL_48_12 rifcsplowo2_12_scaffold_39892, whole genome shotgun sequence.